rnacentral:rRNA from 1 species
AUUCGACCUCAAAUCAGGUAGGAC